CCUUGUACACACCGCCCGUCACACCAUGGGAGUGGGUUGUACCAGAAGACGUUAGCUUAACCGCAAGGGGGGCGACGUCCACGGUAUGAUUCAUGACUGGGGUG
rnacentral:rRNA from 1 species